GGAAACCGGAGCUAAUACCGGAUAAUAUAUUGAACCGUAUGGUUCAAUAGUGAAAGACGGUUUUGCUGUCACUUAUAGAUGGAUCCGCGCCGCAUUAGCUAGUUGGUAAGGUAACGGCUUACCAAGGCAACGAUGCGUAGCCGACCUGAGAGGGUGAUCGGCCACACUGGAACUGAGACACGGUCCAG
rnacentral:rRNA from 1 species